UUUUCUUGUCCAGGCCUUUUGGAGGAGUCAGUGGAUACCAGAUAGCAUCCAGUGGAAAUUUUUCUUUUUCUUGAUUUUUUUAUUACUGCAUUUUCCUCUUUCCCCUUUUAUAUAUUAUUUUUUCUCCUCUCAGGAGUUUCUAAUUCUUCCUUCUUUCCCAUCUAAAUUAUAAUAAUUUAGAUGCCCUGGGUUUUUCUCCCUUAAACUCCAUUCCGUAUUUCAUUCCUCUUACCUUCCUUAUAUCCAUAACUUUAGUACCAACAUUUUAUUCUAAUUUGCUUACUUGUGCCCAGUUUUGUUCUGUCAUUACUACAGGGAUUUUCUUGCCCAUUCUCUUCCUUGGUAAUUUUCUAUGGAGUCAUCAUAGUAUGCACUUUAAAUUAUAAGUAACUUAUCAAUUAGGUAUUAUUUGUAAAGAAACCGGAGGACAAUGGCCUGGAUAAUGUCACAGAUAAUGCCAGAGCCAGGUCCAGACAUUAGAAUCCAGAUCCAACUUUUAGUCCAAGGUUGUCUCAUCCACACUGUAGGUUCCCAUUCUAUGAAAGGGUGAGCUGUGAGAUCUUGAGCCCUAACUUUAUUUUACCUUUAUGUCAGUUCAUAACAGUAGGCUCCAUAUUUAAUAGGGAGGCUUAUAUUUAAUAAGAUAUAAAAUUUUGUCUUCAGGUCUUCCCAUUUUAAGUAUUAUUUCCCACACGAUACUGAAGAAGACGAAAGAAGAUGAAAGAAGCCCAACUGCAUUGGGUCAAGCGUUUGACUUAGUAAAUUUUUCCAAGUUAGCAUGAUGAUGUGCAAACCCUCCAAGAUUCUUUCUUUAAUAAAUAGCAUACCACAACUGAUGAUAAAUGUUCAGACACUCAAUCAUCUUAGGAAUCAAAUUGCUCUCAAUUUGAUGGACUUUUAUUCUUUCAGUGAUCAGAAUAUUCUCUUUUUCCCCUGGAAUCAUCUUAUGCCAAAGAAAUUUUGAAGGGUUAUCUUUGGACUCAGAUGGAAUUAGAAGACCUCUGCUUUGUUCAUUAUGUCUCAGACAAGUUUAAAAAUAGUACAUACUUGGUUAAUAAAACUGCACUGAUAAAAGAGCAUAUGGGUAUAGUAGUGGGUUCUAGGAAUAGCACUUAUGUGUAACUAUCUUUCCUUAACAAGGAAUUAUAAUUUCUACAUAUGCAGACAUAUCCUGCACAUUUUGGGCAAUAUGCUUCCACUUUUGUAAGCACAUAAUGUCAUUGAGUACACAUGGACACAAAGAGGGGAACAACUGACACCAGGACCUACUUGAGGGCGGAGGGUGAGAGGAGAGCGUGAGGAUUGAAAAAAUACUGGGUACUAUGCUCACAACCUGGGUGACAAAAUCAUUUGUACACCAGAACCCUGCAACAUGCAGUUUACUCUUGUAACAAACCAGCACAUGUACGCCCAACCUAAAAUAAAGAAAAAAAAAAAAAAGGAUCAUGAUGUCACAU
rnacentral:lncRNA from 10 species